rnacentral:rRNA from 1 species
UCAGGAUGAACGCUGGCGGCGUGCCUAAUACAUAGCAAGUGAAACGGGUAUCUUCGGAUACCAGUCGCGGACGGGUGAGUAAUACAUAGGCAACCUGCCUUUAUGAGGGGGAUAACCGAGGGAAACUUUGGCUAAUACCGCAUGAAGACUCUAAGGCAUCUUAGAGGGAUAAAAAGUUGGGAAACAACGCAUGAAGAUGGGCUUAUGGCGCAUUAGCUAGUUGGUGAGAUAGAAGCCCACCAAGGUAAUGAUGCGUAGCCGACCUGAGAGGGUGAACGGCCACAUUGGGACUGAGACACGGCCCAAACUCCUACGGGAGGCAGCAGUAGGGAAUUUUCGGCAAUGGGGGGAACCCGUCGACCGAGCAACGCCGCGUGAAGGAAGAAGGUUUUCGGAUUGUAAACUUCUGUUAUAAGGGAAGAACGGAUUGGAUAGGGAAUGAUCUGAUAGUGACGGUACCUUAUUAGAAAGCCACGGCUAACUACGUGCCAGCCGCCGC